GAUGAAGAACGUAGCGAAAUGCGAUAAGUAAUGUGAAUUGCAGAAUUCAGUGAAUCAUCGAAUCUUUGAACGCACCUUGCGCCCUUUGGCAUUCCGAAGGGCAUGCCUGUUUGAGUAUCAUGAACACCUCAACUCUUCAUGGUUUUCCAUGAUGAGCUUGGACUUUGGGGGUCUUGCUGGCCUGCGGUCGGCUCCUCUCAAAUGAAUCAGCUUACCAGUGUUUGGUGGGCAUCACAGGUGUGAUAACUAUCUGCGCUUGUGGUUUUCCACCAAGUAACCUUCAGCAAUGGAGGUUCACUGGAGCUCACAGACGUCUCUCCUCAGUGAGGACAGCCCUUUGAAUGUUUGAUCUCAAAUCAGGUAGGACUACCCGCUGAACUUAAGCAUAUCAAUAAGCGGAGGA
rnacentral:misc_RNA from 1 species